CCUACGGGCGGCAGCAGUGAGGAAUAUUGGUCAAUGGGCGCGAGCCUGAACCAGCCAAGUAGCGUGAAGGAUGACUGCCCUACGGGUUGUAAACUUCUUUUAUAAAGGAAUAAAGUGAGGCACGUGUGCCUUUUUGUAUGUACUUUAUGACUAAGGAUCGGCUAACUCCGUGCCAGCAGCCGCGGUAAUACGGAGGAUCCGAGCGUUAUCCGGAUUUAUUGGGUUUAAAGGGAGCGUAGAUGGGUUGUUAAGUCAGUUGUGAAAGUUUGCGGCUCAACCGUGAAAUUGCAAUUGAUACUGGCAGUCUUGAGUAUCGGUGAGGUAGGCGGAAUUCGUGGUGUAGCGGUGAAAUGCUUAGAUAUCACGAAGAACACCAAUUGCGAAGGCAGCUUACUAAACGACCACUGACAGUGAUGCGCGAAAGUGUGGGUAGCAAACAGGAUUAGAUACCCGAGUAGUC
rnacentral:rRNA from 1 species